rnacentral:rRNA from 1 species
GUAGGGUCCAAGCGUUAAUCGGAAUUACUGGGCGUAAAGCGUGCGCAGGCGGUUGUGCAAGACCGAUGUGAAAUCCCCGGGCUUAACCUGGGAAUUGCAUUGGUGACUGCACGGCUAGAGUGUGUCAGAGGGGGGUAGAAUUCCACGUGUAGCAGUGAAAUGCGUAGAGAUGUGGAGGAAUACCGAUGGCGAAGGCAGCCCCCUGGGAUAACACUGACGCUCAUGCACGAAAGCGUGGGGGGAGCAAACAGGAUUAGAUACCCUGGUAGUCCACGCCCCUAAACCGAUGUCAACUAGUUGUUGGGGAUUCAUCUCCUUAGUAACGUAGCUAACGCGUGAAGUUGACCGCCUGGGAGUACGGUCGCAAGAUUA